rnacentral:rRNA from 1 species
CCUACGGGAGGCAGCAGUGAGGAAUAUUGGACAAUGGGCGCAAGCCUGAUCCAGCCAUGCCGCGUGCAGGAUGACGGUCCUAUGGAUUGUAAACUGCUUUUAUACGAGAAGAAACACUACUUCGUGAAGUAGCUUGACGGUAUCGUAAGAAUAAGGAUCGGCUAACUCCGUGCCAGCAGCCGCGGUAAUACGGAGGAUCCAAGCGUUAUCCGGAAUCAUUGGGUUUAAAGGGUCCGUAGGCGGUUUAAUAAGUCAGUGGUGAAAGCCCAUCGCUCAACGGUGAACGGCCAUUGAUACUGUUAGACUUUGAAUUAUUAGGAAGUAACUAGAAUAUGUAGUGUAGCGGUGAAAUGCUUAGAGAUUACAUGGAAUACCAAUUGCGAAGGCAGGUUACUACUAAUAUAUUGACGCUGAUGGACGAAAGCGUGGGUAGCGAACAGGAUUAGAUACCCUGGUAGUCCACGACGUAACGAUAGAUACUAGCUGUGUAG